UACGGGGGGGGCAAGCGUUGUUCGGAAUUACUGGGCGUAAAGGGCUCGUAGGUGGCCAACUAAGUCAGACGUGAAAUCCCCAGGCUCAACUUGGGAACUGCGUCUGAUACUGGAUGGCUUGAAUUCGGGAGAGGGAUGCAGAAUUCCAGGUGUAGCGGUGAAAUGCGUAGAUAUGCGGAGGAACACCGAUGGCGAAGGCAGUCCCCUGGGCCUGCACUGACACUCAUGCACGAAAGCGUGGGGAGCAAACAGG
rnacentral:rRNA from 1 species